AUGACACGCUCCAUUAGCUUCCCUGGCAUUGCUCCAAGGUUAGAGUUCUCCACCAGAACAACCAUCAGUGAGUGCUCUGCGAACGCAGAGGUCAACAGCACCCAUCUCAGGUCUCCAAUGAGGACAGUAGUGCCAAAGAAACGCACUAAAAGGUCCCGAAAGGGACACCGGAGAGGAGAUUGGGACGGUGCCUGGCGGGCACCAGUGAUGCCCAGAUCACGCUCCCUCUCCCCGUGCAAAGCCAGCCAGAUGGACGGUUGUCAUGGAAAUAUGGGGCGGCUGGCACAGCUCAGUUUGGGUUCCAGCUGGGAUAUAGAUGAGGAGUUUUUACCCCGUCAUAAAAGCGACCCCUGGCUUGGGACUGGACACUCCCCUACACCCCACCUCUCCCCUGUCAUGGCCAGACCCACCCUGACCAACGACUCCUCUCCUCGUCUCCCACAGUCCCUGUCCUCUGACACAGACAAUCUCCUGGACUACCCACCAGGUCCAAGCCAACGGUGUUCCCUGGUUAACAUGGGGAGAUCCUCCACCGCUACACCCAGCCAUUCCAUGCUUUGGCACUCCUACAGGGAAAGCUCGAGACAAAAUGGGUCACGCCCCAGCUCCCAGGGCAUGUGGGAGGAGGUCCAACACCGCGUCCGAGGACUCCUUACCACCCCUAGAGCGGUGCACAGACUUGCCCGUGUGAGUAAGACACAUGUCGCGUUCAUCUGCAGUGGUUGCGUUGGAAACCAUGACAGCAAUCACACCAGCAAUUUAACCUUGACAAGAUUGAACAGUAACUUAAAUUGA
ensembl:lncRNA